rnacentral:other from 1 species
GUUCGCUGCCGCCUAGGCAGCUUAGAAA